UGUGGCGGAGCGCACCGUGGCGGCUAGGUCGCAGGUCGCAGGCGGCGGUGUGUGUGCGCCGCCCUCCCUGACGCCUCACCCCGAAUCCCCCCUGCGCCUGCAGGCCGGCGCGAUGCGGCGCCGCUUCUGGGGCAUGUUCAGCUGCCCGUGCGCCGGCGCCGAUGCGUUUGGGGCCUUGGCUGCCGCCUCCGCCAAGCUGGCCUUGGGCAGUGACGUGGAGCUGGAGCACGGCUGUGGCGGCCGGCAGGUCUUGCUGUCUCUAAGCUGAACCUGGUCACCUUUGUGGGACAAAGGAAAGAGCCCUGAGAUGUGAAGAAAAGGAGACAACAGUCACACCCAGGUUGGCAUUUCAGCGUUUCAAGGUCUUUUGCCUGUGGGUAUGGUGGGAACAGGUGAAGGAGCUGUGCUGAUGUCGUUGAAGGCAUAUUCUCAAGAUGCUGAUGUGAUUCCUCAACGUGAUAUCAAUGAGAAAAUGACCAAGAGCAGGAGGAAGAAGAGGACGAAAUGGCAGUUU